GACGAACGCUGGCGGCGUGCCUAACACAUGCAAGUCGAACGGAGUGUUUCGCUGAAUUGAAGGAAGCUUGCUUCUGGAUUUUCUUGAAACACUUAGUGGCGGACGGGUGAGUAACGCGUGAGUAACCUGCCUUACAGAGGGGGACAACAGUUGGAAACGACUGCUAAUACCGCAUAACGUAUAACCGAGGCAUCUCGGAUAUACCAAAGGAGCAAUCCGCUGUAAGAUGGACUCGCGUCUGAUUAGAUAGUUGGUGGGUAACGGCCUACCAAGGCGACGAUCAGUAGCCGGACUGAGAGGUUGAACGGCCACAUUGGGACUGAGAUACGGCCCAGACUCCUACGGGAGGCAGCAGUGGGGAAUAUUGGGCAAUGGGGGAAACCCUGACCCAGCAACGCCGCGUGAAGGAGAAGGCUUUCGGGUUGUAAACGUUCUUUUACCAGGGACGAAGACGUGACGGUACCUGGA
rnacentral:rRNA from 1 species